GACGAACGCUGGCGGCGUGCCUAAUACAUGCAAGUCGAACGCAUUUUCUUUCACCGUAGCUUGCUACACCGAAAGAAAAUGAGUGGCGAACGGGUGAGUAACACGUCGGUAACCUGCCCAUCAGCGGGGGAUAACACUUGGAAACAGGUGCUAAUACCGCAUAAUUCCAUUUACCGCAUUGUAGAUAGAUGAACGGCGCUUUUGCGUCACUGUUGGAUGGACCCGCGGUGCAUUAGCUAGUUGGUGGGGUAACGGCCUACCAAGGCUGCGAUGCAUAGCCGACCUGAGAAGGUGAUCGGCCACACUGGGACUGGGACACGGCCCAGACUGCUACGGGAGGGAGCAGGAGGGAAUCUUCGGCAAUGGACGCAAGUCUGACCGAGCAAAGCCGCGGGAGUGAAGAAGGGUGUCGGAUCGUAAAAAUCUGUUGUUAGAAAAGAAAAAGGAUGAGAGUGGAAAGUUCAUCCCUUGACGGUAUCUAACCAGAAAGCCACGGCUAACUACGUG
rnacentral:rRNA from 1 species